UCCAGCAGUAGUCAGCUGUGCAGGUCUUCGUCAUACCUGAGGCAGUGUUACUCUGCUGGGACAGUGAUGCACUUGCGCUGCUGUGGUGCUUCUUCACUGCUCAUGAAGUGCUGAUGCAGAGUCCCUCUGAGCGAGAGCUGGAUCGCUCCUCACU
rnacentral:snoRNA from 1 species